rnacentral:rRNA from 1 species
GAUGAACGCUAGCUACAGGCUUAACACAUGCAAGUCGCGGGGCAGCAUGGGGGUUGCUUGCAAUCCCCGAUGGCGACCGGCGCACGGGUGAGUAACGCGUAUCCAACCUGCCCUUCACCACGGGAUAACCCGGCGAAAGUCGGACUAAUACCGUAUGUUGGCCAUUGACGGCAUCCGAUUUGGACGAAAGGGUUGGCGGUGAAGGAUGGGGAUGCGUCCGAUUAGCUGGACGGCGGGGUGACGGCCCACCGUGGCGACGAUCGGUAGGGGUUCUGAGAGGAAGGUCCCCCACACUGGAACUGAGACACGGUCCAGACUCCUACGGGAGGCAGCAGUGAGGAAUAUUGGUCAAUGGGCGUAAGCCUGAACCAGCCAAGUAGCGUGCAGGAUGACGGCCCUAUGGGUUGUAAACUGCUUUUAUGCGGGGAUAAAGUGGCCCACGUGUGGGUUUUUGCAGGUACCGCAUGAAUAAGGACCGGCUAAUUCCGUG